UAGGGAAUCUUCCACAAUGGACGCAAGUCUGAUGGAGCAACGCCGCGUGAGUGAAGAAGGUUUUCGGAUCGUAAAGCUCUGUUGUUGGUGAAGAAGGAUAGAGGUAGUAACUGGCCUUUGUUUGACGGUAAUCAAUUAGAAAGUCACGGCUAACUACGUGCCAGCAGCCGCGGUAAUACGUAGGUGGCAAGCGUUGUCCGGAUUUAUUGGGCGUAAAGCGAGUGCAGGCGGCUCGAUAAGUCUGAUGUGAAAGCCUUCGGCUCAACCGGAGAAUUGCAUCAGAAACUGUCGAGCUUGAGUACAGAAGAGGAGAGUGGAACUCCAUGUGUAGCGGUGGAAUGCGUAGAUAUAUGGAAGAACACCAGUGGCGAAGGCGGCUCUCUGGUCUGCAACUGACGCUGAGGCUCGAAAGCAUGGGUAGCGAACAGG
rnacentral:rRNA from 1 species